GACGAACGCUGGCGGCGUGCUUAACACAUGCAAGUCGAACGCUGAAGACCUGGCUUUUGUUGGGUUGGGUGAGUGGCGAACGGGUGAGUAACACGUGAGUAACCUGCCCUCUUCUUUGGGAUAACGCCCGGAAACGGGUGCUAAUACUGGAUAUUCACUGAUCUUCGCAUGGGGGUUGGUGGAAAGGUUUGUUCUGGUGGGGGAUGGGCUCGCGGCCUAUCAGCUUGUUGGUGGGGUGAUGGCCUACCAAGCCUUUGACGGGUAGCCGGCCUGAGAGGGUGACCGGUCACAUUGGAACUGGGAUACGGCCCAGACUCCUACGGGAGGCAGCAGUGGGGAAUAUUGCACGAUGGGCGAAAGCCUGAUGCAGCGGCGCCGCGUGAGGGAUGGAGGCCUUCGGGUUGUAAACCUCUUUCGCUCAUGGUCAAGCCGCAACUGUGGGUUGUGGUGAGGGUAGUGGGUAAAGAAGCGCCGGCUAACUACGUG
rnacentral:rRNA from 1 species